GCCCAAUUAGCAAUUUAAACCACCAGGUGCAUGAGAAGGUCUCCUUAACAUGAAAUUACGGCACUAAUGACUUGUCUUCUGUUGAAAGGAUACACUGACUGUUGCCUGCCUGAGUUUAUCCGCAUUAGAAGAACAAUAGCGAGCAGGCGGCAGUGCUCCACUCGUCUCUCUGGAGACCUGCGCUGCGGUCUGGAGCAAGGGGCGCCCAGGGAGGUGGCAGCGGUGACCGUGCUGGAGAAGAGAAGGAGGUGGUGGUGGAGAAGGAGGAGUGAGGAACUACCAAUCCCUCAUCGGCCACCAGUCCCAGGAGGGCAAAGGGGAAAAGUUGUAGGAGUCUGCCGAACCCUUUCAAAGAUCUGAGGCAGAUGCCAGAGGGGCAGAGGACUAGUGAGCGAAGACCAUCCUCAAAGUACCCACCAUGCCCACUACCUCAGCUGAAAGGGCGACAGUGGUGCAGUGGUAGAGAAGUCAGGUUAGUAAUCAGAAGGUUGCUAGUUCGAUUCCCUGUCGAAGCGUCCUUGAGCAAGACACUGAACCCCUAAUUGCUCCUGAUGUGCAGUGUGCCAUCAGUGUAAAUGUAAAAUGUGUAUACAGCCUUGUAAGUCGAUUUGGAUAAAAGCGUCGGCUAAAUGACUAAAUGUAAAUGUAAAGGUUCUUGAGGCAGGUACAGGGCUCCUCUGUGUCUUCUACCCUUUAGUUCC
rnacentral:lncRNA from 1 species